rnacentral:rRNA from 1 species
GGGGGAACCCUGAUGCACCGAUGCCGCGUGAGUGAAGAAGGCCCUUGGGUUGUAAAACUCUUUCGUCGGGGAAGAAAAUGACUGUACCCGAAUAAGAAGGUCCGGCUAACUUCGUGCCAGCAGCCGCGGUAAUACGAAGGGACCUAGCGUAGUUCGGAAUUACUGGGCUUAAAGAGCUCGUAGGUGGUUAAAAUAGUUGAUGGUGAAAUCCCAAGGCUCAACCUUGGAACUGCCAUCAAAACUUUUUAGCUAGAGUGUGAUAGAGGUAAGUGGAAUUUCUAGUGUAGAGGUGAAAUUCGUAGAUAUUAGAAAGAACACCAAAUGCGAAGGCAACUUACUGGGUCACUACUGACACUGAGGAGCGAAAGCAUGGGUAGCGAAGAGGAUUAGAUACCCUCGUAGUCCAUGCCGUAAACGAUGUGUGCUAGACGUUGGAAAUAUAUUUUUCAGUGUCGCAGCGAAAGCAUUAAGCACACCGCCUGGGGAGUACGACCGCAAGGUUAAAACUCAAAUGAAUUGACGGGGACCCGCACAAGCAGUGGAGCAUGUGGUUUAAUUCGAAGAUACGCGCAGAACCUUACCAACACUUGACAUGUUCGUCGCGAGACUAAGAGAUUAGUCUUUUCAGUUCGGCUGGACGAAACACAGGUGCUGCAUGGCUGUCGUCAACUCGUGUCGUGAGAUGUUGGGUUAAGUCCCGCAACGAGGGCAACCCCUACUUUUAGUUGCCACCAUUUAGUUGGGCACUUUAAAAGAACUGCCAGUGAUAA